rnacentral:lncRNA from 1 species
GUGAACCUCUCUGUGGGUUUCAGAACGCCAGGGUCUGAACAGAGAAGCUUCAGAAUACUUUCUCCGACUGGAGAACGUUUUUAUUGUGGGAGGAAAAAAUGUUGCCAGUCUCACUUCACAGACACCUGGAAUUCAUGAAGUCUGAGGACUUCUUUCAUUUUACUUUCAACUAAAAGCUCCAGCAUGAAACAGCAAAGGCUCACAGAGCUCAAGAUCAGGAGGUGGCCCUGUGAGAGGGUAUUCGGCCUGGAUCCCUGGUGAAACUCCAUCACUGAGCAGGUCUGUGAUAGCCCGUGUGGUCUGCUUUCUGUAGAUAAUACUCGGAGACUGUGCUGCAAACAUUCUCAGAUUAUUCAAAGAUGAACGAACAGUUCAAAUGGGCAGGUUUCUGUGAGUGCUUCCCUCUCAACCCCUUCCUUUUUUCAGUAUGUCUCCCUAUUUUCUUCCUCUCAAGCGUAUCUACUUCAGAAAACGUGGAAAGAAAAGAGCCUGGUGGGAAAAGUCGAUCAAGUGACAAUGACGUGCCCUUACGGAAAAAUCUCUGGGAAAAUCCCUCCAAAACCCCCCAAGGUGAACCUCACGUCAACCAAAACCAAGACAUGAGCCAGAGCCUAAACAGAGGAAAGAAAACAGAAGAGAGGAUUCUAGUGAUGUAUCUGGUCAUCAUUCCAAGCAACCAAGCUGAACUUUUGCAUUGACAAACAAUUUUUUCCAGAGCAUUUUAAAAUUUACAGGUUGGUUUGCAACAAAGCUUUUCAAAAAGAAGUAUUUAUGAUGGUAAAUCGUUAAAAGAAAUGUGUUCUAGACCAAGAAAGGCAAAGCUUUCAUGUCUUGUUUAGUCUCUAGCAUGCUUGUUUGCAAAACACAAGCUCCAGUCUGCAUGUUUCCGCAAUCAACUGACUGUCUUAGAGAAUAUCUCAAAAUCAGUCUGUCCCCGUGCUUGCUUAUGAUUCCGCGGUAAUCCUCUGUUUGUAGUCACAAGUUGUCAGGAGAACAUCAUGUAAGGCAUGGUAUGAAGACUUAAGAAAUCUUGAAAUCAGAAACCUCAGUUUUCUUUCUCUUGAAGUGUUUCUAAGGGAAGAAAAAGGAGAAAGGAAAUUAGCAUCUACUGUUACCUCAUUUAAUUCCUUCAACAAUCUUAAGGGUAUUAUUGUCUCCAUUCCUCAAGAAAAGAAACCAAGGCUCAGAGAAAAGGACUCACCCGCCCUGUGACCAAUGACUGGGGGUCCCGGGUCAGAACCCAGAAUUCUGACUCGCACCCAGUGCUGGCUCCCCUGUGUCCCAGGGAUGGGCAGGAC